AACGAACGCUGGCGGCGUGUUUAAGACAUGCAAGUCGCACGGGAUCAUUUUGGUAGCAAUACUCGAAUGGUUUAGUGGCGCACGGGUGAGUAACAUGUGAAUGACAUGCCCUAUAGUGGGGAAUAGCCCAGGGAAACUUGGAUUAAUACCCCAUGGUCUCGCAAGAGUAAAGGUGGCCGCAAGGCUGUCGCUAUAGGAUUGGUUCGCACCCUAUCAGCUUGUUGGUGAGGUAACGGCUCACCAAGGCUACGACGGGUACCUGGUCUGAGAGGACGAUCAGGCACACUGGAACUGAGACACGGUCCAGACACCUACGGGUGGCAGCAGUCGAGAAUAAUUCACAAUGGGGGCAACCCUGAUGGUGCAACGCCGCGUGGAGGAUGAAGGUCUUCGGAUUGUAAACUCCUGUCAUCUGGGAGUAAGACCUGGCCGUGAAUAGCGGACAGGGUUGAUAGUACCAGAAGAGGAAGGACCGGCCAACUACGUGCCAGCCGCCGCUGUAA
rnacentral:rRNA from 1 species